GNAGGUGGANGGAAGAUCGCCGGCGNNCANGCAUCGNNCGCGGGAGGAAAGUCCGGGCUCCAUAGGACAGGGAAGUCGGUAACACCGACCCGGGGUGACCCGAGGGAAAGCGCAACAGAAAUNACACCGCCGAAGAGCAUCGAUCGACCUCCGGGCCGAGCGAUGUGGCGAGCGCUUCGCGUUCGCCCGGUAAGGGUGAAAUCGUGGGGUAAGAGCCCACGCGUGAGAGCCGGGUGACCGGCGACGAGGCAAGCCCUUCCCGGAGCAAGCUUGAAUAGGGGUGCCGUUGAGGCCGGUCCGGCCGAAUGCGCAUNCGAAAGGAUGACACGGCGCCCGGGUGAGAGCGCUCGAGCUUCGCGGCAACGCGAAGCCUAGAUGAAUGAUCUUCUCCGGUCCCACGGCAACGCGGGAUCGAGACAAAACCCGGCUUAAAGUCCACGCGGAUCA
rnacentral:RNase_P_RNA from 1 species